GGAUAUUUCGCGGGUGACGGAUAGCUUCUUUCCUUCACCAAGAUGGCGGCGAGUUCUUCCUAUUCGGCUUAGGAGCGUUCCGAGUCCACGCGAGAAGCUGGCAGGCUGAAAAAUAGGCAGUGCACAGGACGGACUUUCUGGCUACUGACCAUUUAGCUGUGGCAUACCCGGAUUGUGUGUGAGUGGGAAAUCAACCAUGAGCUCCGUGGCAGUUUUGACCCAGGAAAGUUUUGCUGAACAUCGUAGUGGCCUUGCUCAGCAGCAAGUGAAAGUUACAGCUUUAAAUGCUGAAGAAGAGAACGAUCCUCCAACAUACAAAGAUGCCUUCCCCCCUCUCCCUGAGAAAGCUUGUUUGGAGCCAGCCCAGGAACCUACUGGUGCCUGGAGUAAAAUCCGACCAAUCAAGGCUUCUGUUAUCAC